AUGCCACGGCCGGCCAUCAUUGCUGGGUUGCUGCUGGCCUUUACGUGCAGAUGCAGUUUUUUAGUGGGUGUGGGUGCGGCUUUGUUGCCACUAUUGGGAGUUUGGGAUCUGGCCACGGGGACCCAGCACACAUUUAUCGCUCGUGGAGUUCGGUUUGCUGCCUGCCCCGAGCAUUUAUCAGCGCCAGGCCGUCCUUGUGCCAGGGGAAGGGCGACAGAUCUCAUUUCUCCCAUGGCAGGUGAAAGUCUAGAUGGCUCCUUUGGUGCUGGGAAUGUGAAUUGCAGAAAAGAACAACUGUUUACAUUUUGGUACUGCAUGAUGAACGGUUCAACGGGUUCCCUAGGGGAUCAUGUGAACGGAAAGCAAGUGCAAAGUGUUGACCCUCCUGGUCUUUCAAGUUUCAACAAUGGACCAAGACACCGUCCGUUGAAUGCAUUGAGACGCUGCCGUGGUGUAUUGUGCUUGGUGAUUAUGCCGGUGACCGCAUGCAUGAUGAUGGUUUACCUAGCCCCUGUGACAACCUUCGUUGUACGGUUGUUCAGUGUGCAUUACAGCAGAAAGUGGACGUGCUUUCUGUUCGGGAUGUGGUUAGCCAUGUUUCCCUUUUUGUUUGAGAAGAUCAACAGGACAAGGUUUGUUUUCUCUGGUGAAAAGGUGCCCCCCAAAGAGUGUGUCUUGCUGUUUGCUAACCACAGAACUGAGGUAGAUUGGAUGUACCUGUGGGAUCUUGCAUUGAGGAAAGGCCGUUUGCAGUCUAUCAAGUACAUCCUGAAGAAAAGUUUGAUGAAGUUGCCUAUUUUCAACUGGGCAUUUCACAUUAUUGAGUUUAUUCCUGUAGAGCGGAAUUGGGAGGUUGACGAACCACUAAUCCGAAGAAGGCUUUCUGAACUGAAGUACCCCAAGGAUCCCCUUUGGCUCGCAGUUUUUCCAGAAGGCACUGAUUAUACUGAGAAGAAAUGCAUCAAAAGUCAAGAGUAUGCGGCAGAGCAUGGUUUGCCUAUUCUGAAAAAUGUCCUCCUUCCCAAGAUAAAAGGUUUCAAUUGCUGCCUGCAAGAGCUGAGGAGUAACUUGGAUGCUGUUUACGACAUCACGAUCGCAUACAAGCAUCGGCUCCCAACGUUCAUGGACAACGUGUACGGCGUCGACCCUUCCGAGGUCCACAUCCACACCAAGAUCAUCCAGGUCUCUGACAUACCGACAGCAGAGGACGAAGUAUCCAGCUGGCUGACGGAGAGGUUCAGACUGAAGGACGAGCUCCUGUCUGAUUUUUUGACACAAGGCCACUUCCCCAAUGAAGGAACCGAAGAAGACCUGUCCACGCUCAAGUGCGUCGCGAAUUUUGUUGCGGUGAUCGGCAUGACGGCCUUCUUCAUCUACCUGACCCUGUUCUCGUCCGUGUGGUUCAGGGUGUUCGCGGGGUGCAGCGCCUCUUUCCUCACGUAUGCGACCCUGUACUCUGUACACGCGCCCCAGAUCGUGUGUUUGCCGGAGGCCGGCGCCCACGCCAAGAAAGCUUGA
rnacentral:rRNA from 1 species